GUUCCUAGGGCAACGCUAUCUGCAGGGGAUGAUAUGAUGGAACCUGGCUUCUUGUCAACGGAUGGCACUGUUCUGUAACACCAAAGGCCAAGCAGUGGCUCUGAACCAGAGUACAGCCGGACCUCACCCUCCACCCUCGCCCACUUACCUCAGUGUCUCUACAGUCAGAACAGCCAACCACAACAACGCUUCAACUGGCAGGAAACAAGUCUUCACACCCUUGGGAUUUCCUAUCACGUGAUGUGCAACCUUCUCCAGAAACAAUCGGACCUAAAAAUAGAAUGCCUCGCAUUCACCUUCAUCUCAACACAAUGAUUCCACGGUCCUGUACCUGGCCUUGAAGCAGUGCCAAGCACUUUGAAAUACAGAGACUCCUCCGUGUAAAUGAAGGAAGCACUUCCAGGGACUCCCGAGGCCAGGCUGCUGUUUACUUAUUCCCUAUUCUUUGUUAUUUUGUCGGCUUUUGCCAGGAAAGCCCCUGUAGGAGGAAGGAAAGCAAGAAGUGGUGCAGAAGGGUGCAGAAGAUUAGCAAGCAGAAUUGGUGACCCUGGGGAAAGACUACAUGACUCCAGAGGAAUUAGGGCCCGCUCUGAGGUCGUUCAUUGAAGGAACUCCAAACUUAUCCUUCCCAAUGCGUAUGAUCUGACGCUUCAUCAGUAGAGGGCGCUAAAGAGACACUGCAGGAACAAGGGGCUUUUCUCUCGGUUUUACUCCUGGUGUCUGACCUCCAGCAGUGCACAUGCUGAUUCAUCAGCCAUGCCAUGUGCCAUCAAGAUCCCUACAGUGUACAGUCCUUCUCCCGGAUCCUCUGCCUGGACUCGGGGACCCCUUGCCUUCACCCUUGUGACAACCAGUUUUACAUCUACAAUGGGGUCGGACCUCCUGAUCACUUUCCACCUAUGGCUGGCUGGCUGACAGCACAGGACUUUGUUUCUUAAAGCCCUCCAAGUGUGAACGCUUCACACCAGGCCUCACACUUCCUACUGUGUGUGGUAGGUAAACAGCCUUAGCCUCAGCUUGCCUGUAUCUUUUGGGUUCUCCCCUUCUUGCACAGCAAAUAUGAACGUAUGAAUAUACACGUGCCAGAUAGCCUACUGUCCC